UACGGAGGGUGCAAGCGUUAUCCGGAUUUACUGGGUUUAAAGGGUGCGCAGGCGGAUAUGUAAGUCAGUGGUGAAAUCUCUAGGCUUAACCUGGAAAUUGCCGUUGAUACUAUAUAUCUUGAAUGCUGUGGAGGUAAGCGGAAUAUGUCAUGUAGCGGUGAAAUGCUUAGAUAUGACAUAGGACACCUAUUGCGAAGGCAGCUUACUACGCAGAUAUUGACGCUCAUGCACGAAAGCGUGGGGAUCAAACAGG
rnacentral:rRNA from 1 species